rnacentral:tRNA from 1 species
GGCUCCGUAGCUUGGUGGAACAGAGCGCCCGUCUACCGAAUAGGGAGUCGUGGGUUUGAUUCCCACCGAACCA